rnacentral:lncRNA from 1 species
AGGGAAUGAAGAGGACCUGUAGGCAGAAGAGGCUCACGGGAAGUAUAACAGAGAUCUAACUCCUUGUGACAAAAUCUUGUGGGACAUAAUCACUAUGUAAGGGGAAUGGGGAAACAGCCAGAGUGAAGGCCAGAAGUGCCCACAACCACGGUGCAGGCCUGAGGUGGCUGCCUAUCUGAAGCCCCAGGGCUCCCCACCAAGGGGGAGGUGCCUUCUGAAUAGCCUGGACUGCUUCCAAAGAGGCCCAGCAAAUUCCAGAAAGUAUGGAAAGCCUUGUGGAGAAAGAGCUUCCCAUUUCUCAUGUUUCCCUAUUGCCUUUGUUCACGCUUUGAAAGCAAAUUCAGCUUCCCAUUUUUCCCUAUGCAUAUUUUAAAUUGUUCCAUCUUGUUUGUCUUUUAUGGUAAUCCUUUCUUCAUGGUUUAAUACAACAUUGGAAGACAUCGUGACACUACAGCAAAAUAGUGUGACAGGGGGCUAGGUCGGCAGCCCUUUAAUGAAAGGAGAAAUGAGACAUAUAGUCCCCCAAAGGACAAUUAGGAAGGAGCAGCAAACCUGUCUUUAAAAAUGCUUCCAGACGUGAGCUUGGCUAUUUUUUCCCCCCACUGCCAUGAUCGGCAAAGGGCUAGCAGUUGCCAGAGGCGGCAGGAAAGAGCGCAGGGAGGCUGGAAGGCCCAGAUCCAGUGCAAGGGAUCUGUCUUACCUACUGGACCUCAAGGGAUCUUCAGGCAUUCAUGGGAGCACCUCAGAAGGCUCAACUUGCCUCAGAUUUCUGAUGGCAAGAAGGUCAAGUUCUGGUCAUUCAGGAGCCAAACAGAGCCCUGACUCCAACCAAAAUUCACCACAAAGAUGAGGACAGUGCCAUAGAAGGAACCUGAGUUGAGCAACUCCAUGAGCAGGGAACCCACCCAGCUGCCCUGGACCUCAAGGAGAGGGAAACAAGGUUAUUGUUUUGAAGAUUUUAUUUAUGUAUGUAUUUAUGAGAGAGAGAGAGAGGAGAGUGGGAGGAGGAGCAGAGGGAGAGGAGAAGAGAAUCUCAAGGAGACUCUGAGCCCAGCAUGGAGCCUGAUGGGGGGCUGGUUCCAGAGACCCUGAGAUCAUGACAUGAGCCAAAAUCAAGUCAGAUGCUCAACGGACUGAGCCAUCCAGGUGCCCCAAGAAGUUUGCUCUCUGACGUUAAGCCCACCCAUGCUCCCAGCUCUCGUGGAUACUGUGUUCUUGUCAGCUGAACCCUGAAAUCUUAGGAUGUGGACUGAAC